GGUGCUGCAUGGCUGUUGUCAGCUCGUGUCGUGAGAUGUUGGGUUAAGUCCCGCAACGAGCGCAACCCCCGUCCUUAGUUGCUACCAUUUAGUUGAGCACUCUAAGGAGACUGCCGGUGAUAAGCCGCGAGGAAGGUGGGGAUGACGUCAAGUCCUCAUGGCCCUUACGGGCUGGGCUACACACGUGCUACAAUGGCGGUGACAAUGGGAAGCAAAGGGGCAACCCCUAGCAAAUCUCAAAAAAC
rnacentral:rRNA from 1 species